rnacentral:rRNA from 1 species
UGGGGAAUAUUGGACAAUGGGCGGAAGCCUGAUCCAGCAAUACCGCGUGUGUGAAGAAGGCCUUAGGGUUGUAAAGCACUUUCAAUAGGGAGGAACACCUGACGGUUAAUACCCGUCAGCUUGACAUUACCUAUACAAGAAGCACCGGCUAACUCCGUGCCAGCAGCCGCGGUAAUACGGAGGGUGCAAGCGUUAAUCGGAAUUACUGGGCGUAAAGCGUGCGUAGGUGGUUCAUUAAGUCAGAUGUGAAAGCCCUGGGCUUAACCUGGGAACGGCAUUUGAAACUGGAGGACUAGAGUUGAGUAGAGGGGAGUGGAAUUUCAGGUGUAGCGGUGAAAUGCGUAGAUAUCUGAAGGAACACCAGUGGCGAAGGCGACUCCCUGGACUCAAACUGACGCUG